rnacentral:rRNA from 1 species
CCUACGGGAGGCUGCAGUGGGGAAUAUUGGACAAUGGGGGGAACCCUGAUCCAGCCAUGCCGCGUGUGUGAAGAAGGCCCUCGGGUUGUAAAGCACUUUCAGUGAGGAAGAACGCCUGGUGGUUAAUACCCAUCAGGAAAGACAUCACUCACAGAAGAAGCACCGGCUAACUCCGUGCCAGCAGCCGCGGUAAUACGGAGGGUGCGAGCGUGAAUCGGAAUUACUGGGCGUAAAGCGCGCGUAGGUGGCUUGAUAAGCCGGUUGUGAAAGCCCCGGGCUCAACCUGGGAACGGCAUCCGGAACUGUCAAGCUAGAGUGCAGGAGAGGAAGGUAGAAUUCCCGGUGUAGCGGUGAAAUGCGUAGAGAUCGGGAGGAAUACCAGUGGCGAAGGCGGCCUUCUGGACUGACACUGACACUGAGGUGCGAAAGCGUGGGUAGCAAACAGGAUUAGAUACCCUAGUAGUC